rnacentral:tRNA from 1 species
GGAUAUAGCUCAGUUGGUAGAGUGCUUGCCUUUCAUGCACAAGGCCCUGGGUUCGAGCCCCAAACCA